GGAUGAACGCUGGCGGCGUGCCUACUACAUGCAAGUCGAGCGAGCGGACGAGAAGCUUGCUUCUCUGAUGUUAGCGGCGGACGGGUGAGUAACACGUGGAUAACCUACCUAUAAGACUGGGAUAACUUCGGGAAACCGGAGCUAAUACCGGAUGAUAUUUUGAACCGCAUGGUUCAAAAGUGAAAGACGGUCUUGCUGUCACUUAUAGAUGGAUCCGCGCUGCAUUAGCUAGUUGGUAAGGUAACGGCUUACCAAGGCAACGAUGCAUAGCCGACCUGAGAGGGUGAUCGGCCACACUGGAACUGAGACACGGUCCAGACUCCUACGGGAGGCAGCAGUAGGGAAUCUUCCGCAAUGGGCGAAAGCCUGACGGAGCAACGCCGCGUGAGUGAUGAAGGUCUUCGGAUCGUAAAACUCUGUUAUUAGGGAAGAACAUAUGUGUAAGUAACUGUGCACAUCUUGACGGUACCUAAUCAGAAAGCCACGGCUAACUACGUG
rnacentral:rRNA from 1 species